GGAUGUGAGGGAAUCUGGCUGCAGCAUCUGUCACCUCACUGAUCGCCGGGGUUGAUCCGGCUGAUCUGGCUGGCUAGUGGGGUCUCCUUCCUUCCUCAUCGUUCACGUGAGUCCCUCCUGAAGCUGUGUGCGCUGUUGAAGAGGACGACCACCCCCACAGAGGAGCACUGUUCCUCAGUCAAGGGUGUAUGAGUAGCUGCGCUUCCCUGCUAGAACCUCCAAACACGCUCUCAAUAUAUGAGAAGAUGUACACACUCCUAAGUUUCUAAGGAAAAUUACACAAAAGAAAAACAAAGUAUUAUUUC
rnacentral:snRNA from 1 species